rnacentral:rRNA from 1 species
GAUGAACGCUGGCGGCGUGCCUAAUACAUGCAAGUCGAGCGAACGGACGAGAAGCUUGCUUCUCUGAUGUUAGCGGCGGACGGGUGAGUAACACGUGGAUAACCUACCUAUAAGACUGGGAUAACUUCGGGAAACCGGAGCUAAUACCGGAUAAUAUUUUGAACCGCGUGGUUCAAAAGUGAAAGACGGUCUUGCUGUCACUUAUAGAUGGAUCCGCGCUGCAUUAGCUAGUUGGUAAGGUAACGGCUUACCAAGGCAACGAUGCAUAGCCGACCUGAGAGGGUGAUCGGCCACACUGGAACUGAGACACGGUCCAGACUCCUACGGGAGGCAGCAGUAGGGAAUCUUCCGCAAUGGGCGAAAGCCUGACGGAGCAACGCCGCGUGAGUGAUGAAGGUCUUCGGAUCGUAAAACUCUGUUAUUAGGGAAGAACAUAUGUGUAAGUAACUGUGCACAUCUUGACGGUACCUAAUCAGAAAGCCACGGCUAACUACGUGCCAGCAGCCGCGGUAAUACGUAGGUGGCAAGCGUUAUCCGGAAUUAUUGGGCGUAAAGCGCGCGUAGGCGGUUUUUUAAGUCUGAUGUGAAAGCCCACGGCUCAACCGUGGAGGGUCAUUGGAAACUGGAAAACUUGAGUGCAGAAGAGGAAAGUGGAAUUCCAUGUGUAGCGGUGAAAUGCGCAGAGAUAUGGAGGAACACCAGUGGCGAAGGCGACUUUCUGGUCUGUAACUGACGCUGAUGUGCGAAAGCGUGGGGAUCAAACAGGAUUAGAUACCCUGGUAGUCCACGCCGUAAACGAUGAGUGCUAAGUGUUAGGGGGUUUCCGCCCCUUAGUGCUGCAGCUAACGCAUUAAGCACUCCGCCUGGGGAGUACGACCGCAAGGUUGAAACUCAAAGGAAUUGACGGGGACCCGCACAAGCGGUGGAGCAUGUGGUUUAAUUCGAAGCAACGCGAAGAACCUUACCAAAUCUUGACAUCCUUUGACAACUCUAGAGAUAGAGCCUUCCCCUUCGGGGGACAAAGUGACAGGUGGUGCAUGGUUGUCGUCAGCUCGUGUCGUGAGAUGUUGGGUUAAGUCCCGCAACGAGCGCAACCCUUAAGCUUAGUUGCCAUCAUUAAGUUGGGCACUCUAAGUUGACUGCCGGUGACAAACCGGAGGAAGGUGGGGAUGACGUCAAAUCAUCAUGCCCCUUAUGAUUUGGGCUACACACGUGCUACAAUGGACAAUACAAAGGGCAGCGAAACCGCGAGGUCAAGCAAAUCCCAUAAAGUUGUUCUCAGUUCGGAUUGUAGUCUGCAACUCGACUACAUGAAGCUGGAAUCGCUAGUAAUCGUAGAUCAGCAUGCUACGGUGAAUACGUUCCCGGGUCU